UGGAUUAGAUAAAGCCAAUGCAUGCUUUUACAGUAUGGAAAUUGGUGAUUUAUAAUAACUUAGCAAAUCGCAAAGUGAAAACAGGCGAUAAAUCAUUCAAGUUUCUGACCUAUCAGCUUUCGACGGUAUGGUAUUGGCUUACCGUGGCAGUGACGGUUAACGGGGGAUUAGGGUUCGAUUCCGGAGAGGGAGCCUGAGAAACGGCUACCACAUCUAAGGAAGGCAGCAGGCGCGCAAAUUACCCAAUUCUAACAGUUUGAGAGAGGUAGUAACAAGAAAUAACAAUACAAGGCAGUUAAAAUGCUUUGUAAUUGGAAUGAUAGAAAUUUAAACCCUUUUUAAAGUAUCAAUUGGAGGGCAAGUCUGGUGCCAGCAGCCGCGGUAAUUCCAGCUCCAAUAGCGUAUAUUAAAAUUGUUGCAGUUAAAAAGCUCGUAGUUGAAGUUCUGCUAAAAGUAACCGGUCUGCUUUUAAUAAAAGUGGUAUCUUGGUGUGUAUUUAGCAAUGAUGUCCUUUGAAGUGUUUUUUACUUUAUUGUAAUAAAGCAUAUUCAGGACUUUUACUUUGAGAAAAUUAGAGUGUUUCUAGCAGGCCGACGCUUUGAAUACUGCAGCAUG
rnacentral:rRNA from 1 species